GACAGAGGUGCCAAGCGUUAGGCGGAAUCACUGGGCUUAAAGCGUGUGUAGGCGGAGUGCUAAGUACCUUGUGAAAUCCCACGGCUCAACCGUGGAACUGCUUGGUAUACUGGUUCUCUUGAGCCACCUAGGGGCAACCGGAACAAACGGUGGAGCGGUGAAAUGCGUAGAUAUCGUCUGGAACGCCGAAGGUGAAAACAGCUCGCUGGGGCUGCGCUGACGCUGAGACACGAAAGCCAGGGGAGCGAACGGG
rnacentral:rRNA from 1 species